CGUACACGCAGCCGCUGGCCUCUUCGUACACGCUGGUGUGGCCGUAGCCUCCCUGGACCACCGCGCCGCCGGUGGUCACCACCUGCCACGAGUUGGAGCCUGAGGCGCCAAUGGGGAGCAAACGCAGAAAUGAAACGUUGUUGUCAAGAUGAGUUCAGGAAUAUUCUGAAUGAACUUCAGGAAAUCAGACCAUCUUUUGUUGCAAUAAAGAAAAAAAAUAAGUUGCAGGAACAGAAAAAGUACUAUAUAGAUGAACUACAGACUACAGGGUGUUUAAGGUUAGUCCUCCUCUCUAAUGAUCCACACAGAGCGUGAAGUGACGGAGGAAAAAAGAAUAUGAAAGGAACUGAGGAUGACCACACGAGGAAGAGGGCUGGACUUUUAGAUUUACAGGUGAAAAAGGGAAAAGAAAAAAGAAGUGGGCGAGACCAUUAAAGGAACGGAGGAGCGGGAUGAGAGGGAAGACAGCAGGACGGUUGGAGGAAGGCAGUAAAUUCAUUAAUCACUGUCUCCUCACAGACGCUCAGGUCACCUCCUCUUAACCCUUUAACUACCCAGGAAAGAGGGAAAGAAAACACAAAAAAGAGUAUUUUAUUCUGCUGCUUACUGUCUUGGUACGGAGCCUCUAAAGGGACAUCAAAGUACAAAUAAAAAAUAAAAAGUUCUGGUUACUAAGGAGAACUUUGUUUUUCCAAAAAUUAGAGUAAAAAAAAAAUUGUUUAGUGACUGAUGCACACCACAUAGUAAUUGUUGUGCACCAUUUUUUUUUCUAUACUAGUUAGUAGUAUAGAAGUUCUGCUUGAUAACUACUGCAUAUCAGAUAGUAACUGUUUUUUUUUCCUAAAAAUUUAAUUUAAAAAAUGGUUGGUUACUAACCAAAACUUUAUCUUUCUAAAAAU